CGUUAUAACCGGCGAUUUCCGAAUGGGGAAACCCAGUGUGUUUCGACACACUAUCAUUAACUGAAUCCAUAGGUUAAUGAGGCGAACCGGGGGAACUGAAACAUCUAAGUACCCCGAGGAAAAGAAAUCAACCGAGAUUCCCCCAGUAGCGGCGAGCGAACGGGGAGGAGCCCAGAGCCUGAAUCAGUGUGUGUGUUAGUGGAAGCGUCUGGAAAGGCGCGCGAUACAGGGUGACAGCCCCGUACACAAAAAUGCACAUACUGUGAGCUCGAUGAGUAGGGCGGGACACGUGGUAUCCUGUCUGAAUAUGGGGGGACCAUCCUCCAAGGCUAAAUACUCCUGACUGACCGAUAGUGAACCAGUACCGUGAGGGAAAGGCGAAAAGAACCCCGGCGAGGGGAGUGAAAAAGAACCUGAAACCGUGUACGUACAAGCAGUGGGAGCCUCUUAAUGGGGUGACUGCGUACCUUUUGUAUAAUGGGUCAGCGACUUAUAUUCUGUAGCAAGGUUAACCGAAUAGGGGAGCCGAAGGGAAACCGAGUCUUAACUGGGCGUUAAGUUGCAGGGUAUAGACCCGAAACCCGGUGAUCUAGCCAUGGGCAGGUUGAAGGUUGGGUAACACUAACUGGAGGACCGAACCGACUAAUGUUGAAAAAUUAGCGGAUGACUUGUGGCUGGGGGUGAAAGGCCAAUCAAACCGGGAGAUAGCUGGUUCUCCCCGAAAGCUAUUUAGGUAGCGCCUCGUGAAUUCAUCUCCGGGGGUAGAGCACUGUUUCGGCAAGGGGGUCAUCCCGACUUACCAACCCGAUGCAAACUGCGAAUACCGGAGAAUGUUAUCACGGGAGACACACGGCGGGUGCUAACGUCCGUCGUGAAGAGGGAAACAACCCAGACCGCCAGCUAAGGUCCCAAAGUCAUGGUUAAGUGGGAAACGAUGUGGGAAGGCCCAGACAGCCAGGAUGUUGGCUUAGAAGCAGCCAUCAUUUAAAGAAAGCGUAAUAGCUCACUGGUCGAGUCGGCCUGCGCGGAAGAUGUAACGGGGCUAAACCAUG
rnacentral:rRNA from 1 species